AGCGCGGAAAGAAUACCCGUUUAAGCUUGACUCUAAUCUGGCAGUGUAAGGAGACAUAAGAGGUGAAUAAAAAGUAGGAGAUAUUAGACUUCGGUUUGGUAUCGACAAUGAAAUACCACUAUUCUUAUUAUUACCUUACUUGAUUAGAUGGAACUUGUAUCAUUUCCUAGCCAUUACACGGAUAUAAUUAUUUUGUCUUCUAGUAUUGGUCUUUGAUGUUAUAUUUUUUUUGUAAUAUAAUCGCAAACCAAUUCUUUAAUGAGAGAAUGCAUUUAUGUAUUAUUGAUUUAAAAAUUUGGUAUAUCUCUAAUUACUCAGGUAUGAUCCAAUUCAAGGACAUUGCCAGGUAGGCUAGGUAGGCGGACAGAAACUACACAUUGAGCAAAAGCGCAAAUGCUGACUUGAUCUCGGCGUUUGGUACACACACGGACAGCAAAAGUUUGGCCUAUCGAUCCUUAUGGUUUAAAGAGUUUUUAACAAGAAAUGUCAGAAAAGUUACCAUAGGGAUAACUGGCUUGUGGUGGCCAAGCGUCUUUAGCGACGGCGCUUUUUGAUCCUCCGAUGUCGGCUCUGGUUCACCCAUGCAAGGGAACGUGAGCUGGGCUUAGACCCUCGUGAGACAGGUUACCCUACUAAUCACAAGACGUUGUUGCGACAGCAUUCCUGAGCAGUACGAGAGGAACCGCAGGUACGGACCAAUGGCACAAUACUUGUUCGAGCGAACAGUGGUAUGAUGCUACGUCCGUUGGAUUAUGCCUGAACGCCUCUAAAGUCGUAUCAAAGACAAUAUAAUCACUAAGAUGAGUAACGCCAUAC
rnacentral:ncRNA from 1 species